rnacentral:rRNA from 1 species
UACGUAGGGUGCGAGCGUUGUCCGGAAUUAUUGGGCGUAAAGAGCUCGUAGGCGGUCUGUCGCGUCGGCUGUGAAACCCGGGGCUCAACCCCGGGCCUGCAGUCGAUACGGGCAGACUAGAGUGCGGUAGGGGAGACUGGAAUUCCUGGUGUAGCGGUGAAAUGCGCAGAUAUCAGGAGGAACACCGGUGGCGAAGGCGGGUCUCUGGGCCGUAACUGACGCUGAGGAGCGAAAGCGUGGGGAGCGAACAGG